GCUCUGGGGAAGGAAAGCACGGAGAGGCAUCAGCUCAGCAGGCCCUUCCCAAACCUGGGGUCCUGACGGAUACAAGGGCUUCUGGUGUUUCUGUUCUCCAGUAAGUCUGUGCAGUAAGUCUUGACUUAAAAUCACUCCAAUUGCCAGGGCACCUGGGGGAAAUUAUAUGCAUAAGGAUAGCCAGACUUUAUUAUAAAGUGCUUAUGAGUGCGACACAUGUACUACCUCCCUGAAGAGGCCCGGCAACCAGUGAAGUAAGACUUGUUUAUCCCCACCGUGCAGAUGAAGUACAGCUCAGUUGAAACGAUCCUUCCACAGACACAAAGCCUUGGUUAAGUGCAGAGCCAGGAGUAGCACCCAGGUCUGUGGUUCUAAAGCCCAGGCAGACCCCAGGACAUCCAGGUCGUAAGGACGACGCAGCAGCAGCCACGGAAAUGUGUCGAGCAUUUCACAUGUACUGGGCACCGCUGUAAGAGUCAUAGUCACGUCACAUCACGUCAUUGAAAUGUGAGCACGACAGCCAUAUGCGGUAGGGGCUGUACCCUCGUUUCACAAAUGGAGAAACUGAAGGACAGAUCCAGAUACUGCUGGUGCCAAGGCCCAGGCUCUUAGCACAGAAGUGAGAAAGGGGUAUGACGUUGGGCUACCCAGGCUGGAAUCCCACUUCUAGCCACCUCCGCCACUUACUGGCUCAGCUGCUUCCUGUGUAAACUUCUCAAACUAUACCAAUUUCGGCCUGAGUUGCAGUGAGGACUGAGUGAAGGCAGCGUUAAGAACAGUGUUCAGUGUUCUGCUAUUCUGCUUUUCCAUCUGUAAAAUUGAGAACAGUCAUCCCACCUAUUUUCAAGACCCUCAGAGACAAACCAAGUCCGUACAGUUUAACAAACACAGUAUGAAACAGACCAGUCAGAUCUAACUGUAGUCCAAAAGGCCAUGGAGAGGAACGUAGGGAUGAAGACGCAGCUACAGGGUUAGAAUAUACAACCAUGGGCAGAGGCUGAAAUCUUAGAAGUUUAAUUAAAAGGAAGACUUUGUCCAAGUCCUCCCCCACCUUGCCGAAAAUGAAAAUUAAAUGGUCUUCCUCAGUUCCAGAGAGUUCCACCUUGAAUAAUAAAGGCAUAAGAGGCUCACUCACCCUAUCCUUGUCUAGUACAGCCUGAAAAAGUUAUGAGAUUAGAAGGCAGACUAGAGACAAGGAAGACCAAGGACUCUGGCACAACACAGAACUGGGCUUGAAUCCCAGCCCUGCCACCUUCUUAGCUAUGACCCUAGGCAAGUUACCCAACCUCUCUGAGCCUCUUUGCUCAGCUGUAAAAUGGGGCUCAUAACCGCUUCCCAGGAUUGUUGUAAGGAUUCAAUGAGUCUAGUGUGGUAUCAGGUACCUGAUAAGAGCCAAAUAAACGAAAUGCCCACCCGCUGCCCUUUUGACACUAGCUUAAAAGGGGGUGGGGGGAGCAAAAAUUAAAGCAUUUAAACACAAAACGUCCAUGCUCACCGUGACAAACCUACACAGAAUGGAAAUCAAAAAACGCGUUCCCAGCUUCCAGUGCUCAGCCUGCUUUUGCAGAGUGGCCCUGGCUCGCACCUGCCUUUACUCUCCUGAGAGUUUGAACCAUCUCUCCAUCCCGUUUAGACUCCUCAAAUGUAACUGGCCCUCCCUUUCCCUGGCUUUCCCUCCUCACCUCAACAGCCACCCUCCUCAUUCCAGUAAUUUCCACACUCCCCCUGUCCCAGUGUCUAGGCCUAUUAGAACCUCACUCUCUUCAAAAGAUUUAAUAACUAAAACCUGUAGAAGAUUUUCAGGUAAAUUAAUUUCAUAAAAAUUGUGCUUUUUGUCUGGAAAUGGGAAUUUUAAAAUCUACCUCUCCUUGGGCACUAUUAUGGAAUCCAGUUAACAACCUUGUAUGUGUGGUAAUUAAAUCCCCUGAGCUGGAUAAUAAAAAUACACUGUGACCAGAAAACAGUCACCAAGUAACACUGUCAGGCUGAUAAAGGAAAAAAGCUAACUAUGGGGCAUUUACUCGGCACCAGGCAACGUGGCAAUACGCAUGAUAUCAUCUGAUCCUCAAAAGCAUUCUAGGAGUGGACGCUGUUACCCUCACCCCAGCGCACAGUGGGGCAAAGGAAGGCAAGAUACAGAUGAAAUGCCGGUGGCUCAGCCAAGGUCAGGACCCGGUGUAAGGGGACUGCAACCGUGUACGAAAACCACAGCUGCCUUCACAGCCAAGCAGCUCAGAGCGUAUUUCUUCCCAUCGCUCCUGUGGGGGUGUCUCACUGUUCUUACCUGAUUCACAAAGGAGGAAACCUCCAGUGGGAAAGGAAGAACAAUGAACACAUGCACACGAGGCAGGGGCGGGGUGGUAGAAUUUAUUUUAAUCUUUUUGUUAACGUCAGAGCUGUUUACUGUUUGACCAGCUGUUCGAGCCUUAACCUGCGGCACUCUGAAGAGGAAGAUCCCCAGCUCCCACAAAAGAAAUCUGGAACUGCAACCCAGCCCAGUGCACAGAGUACUGGCUCAUGAGUCAGAGGACUACAUCCGGGCCCUAGUUCUGCCACUCAGCGGCCAAGGGGCCUCAGGCACUUCACGUCACCUCCAUGGGCCUCGGUUUCCCUCUACAUCUGUAAGAAGAACAGGAUGAUUAUGCUCUCAGAGGGCGUGUGCAGAGUCCAUGAUUCUGGGGAGACUAGGUCUGUACAGAAGCAGCAGUUGGAUUCGCUUGUCUGCCAAGGCCAUGUGUGGACAGGUCUGGCUAAUAUCAGGUGCCAGGAAAUUCCCCAACCAAUAGUUCCCCUUUUCUGCCCUCCUCAAUCUUCCAUGGAGACAACACACUGUUUUGCUGCUGUGGGAUGUGGGGUUAGGGCGUGGGAGAAGGCAGAGAGAUCACUGCUGUAAAGCACUCCAGUGACCCAGGCUGGCUGUGGCCUAGCCCGGGGCAGACUCCUCCUCUGGUCUGGGUGGUGGGACAAGGGGUGAUCCUGCUUCUCUCAGACUCAGGCCCUCUUACCCUCCCUUCAGGGAAAAUGGCAACAGGAUGAAGCAGCAGCGGCCUCAGGGAUGGCUUGGAGCCUGACUUCCCAGAUGGCCGCGGCCACCUCUGCCAGGCUGCAAGGGCCUACAAGGCCCUGCCUCCAGCCUUUAGCCUCCACGUUACAGUGAGUUACACACACCAACAAACCAUCUGGAUGGCUGACGAGGUCUUCGGGGGAAGGAAUGACCCAGGAGGCUCUGAAACCUCUCGAGCCUGCUAUCUGCUUCUGCGGGUUUCAGAAGGCGCAGGGAUUGAAAGUCAGAUCUCCCAAGGCAGCCUCGGCGCCCUCAGCACUCCGCGGCCCCGCGGGGAGUGGGAGCGAUUACUCACCACGCUGAAGGGCAGCGUCGACAGACCUCAAAUCGGGAUGGGGCAAGCUAAGAUGUGCCCACCCCAAACCCUUCACGGCCUUUCGAAAGGGCGGGCGUAGCUCUGCGCUUCCUGCUGUGAAGGUGCUCACAAGGACCGGGCGGCGUUCGCCCACAGGACGAGAGCUUGGGAGGGGAUAUCCUGGCCCAGAUCGCUGGGCGAAACCCCCGGCACAGAUCGGUCCCCGGGGCUCAGACGUGGCCGCUUCGCACAAUGCCGUGCCCUAAAGUGGCCCUGUGGGUUCGGGU